ACGCUGGCGGCAUGCUUUACACAUGCGAGUCGGACGGCAGCACAGAGAAGCUUGCUUCUUGGGUGGCGAGUGGCGAACGGGUGAGUAACAUAUCGGAACGUACCGAGUAAUGGGGGAUAACUAAUCGAAAGAUUAGCUAAUACCGCAUAUUCUCUGAGGAGGAAAGCAGGGGACCUUCGGGCCUUGCGUUAUUCGAGCGGCCGAUAUCUGAUUAGCUAGUUGGUGGGGUAAAGGCCUACCAAGGCGACGAUCAGUAGCGGGUCUGAGAGGAUGAUCCGCCACACUGGGACUGAGACACGGCCCAGACUCCUACGGGAGGCAGCAGUGGGGAAUUUUGGACAAUGGGCGCAAGCCUGAUCCAGCCAUGCCGCGUGUCUGAAGAAGGCCUUCGGGUUGUAAAGGACUUUUGUCAGGGAAGAAAAGGCUGUUGCUAAUACCGACAGUUGAUGACGGUACCUGAAGAAUAAGCACCGGCUAACUACGUGCCAGCAGCCGCGGUAAUACGUAGGGUGCGAGCGUUAAUCGGAAUUACUGGGCGUAAAGCGAGCGCAGACGGUUACUUAAGCAGGAUGUGAAAUCCCCGGGCUCAACCUGGGAACUGCGUUCUGAACUGGGUGACUAGAGUGUGUCAGAGGGAGGUAGAAUUCCACGUGUAGCAGUGAAAUGCGUAGAGAUGUGGAGGAAUACCGAUGGCGAAGGCAGCCUCCUGGGAUAACACUGACGUUCAUGCUCGAAAGCGUGGGUAGCAAACAGGAUUAGAUACCCUGGUAGUCCACGCCCUAAACGAUGUCAAUUAGCUGUUGGGCAACUUGAUUGCUUAGUAGCGUAGCUAACGCGUGAAAUUGACCGCCCUGGGGAGUACGGUCGCAAGAUUAAAACUCAAAGGAAUUGACGGGGACCCGCACAAGC
rnacentral:rRNA from 1 species